AUUGAACGCUGGCGGCAGGCCUAACACAUGCAAGUCGAACGAGUGGCGGACGGGUGAGUAAUGUCUGGGAAACUGCCUGCUGGAGGGGGCAAACUACUGGAAACGGUAGCUAAUACCGCAUACCAUCAGAUGUGCCCAGGUGGGUUUAGCUCGUUGGUGGGGUAACGGCUCACCAAGGCGACGAUCCCUAGCUGGUCUGAGAGGAUGGCCACCGAAACUGGAACGGAGACACGGACAAGAAACCUACGGGAGGGAGCAGUAGGGAAUAUGUCACACUGGGCGCAAGCCUGAUGCAGCCAAGCCGCGUGUAUGAAGUAGGCCUUCGGGUUGUAGACUACUUUCAGAGGGGAGGCGUUACACGCAGACAAAGCGCCGGCUAACUCCGUGCCAGCCGCCGCGGUAAUAC
rnacentral:rRNA from 1 species